rnacentral:rRNA from 1 species
AUUGAACGCUGGCGGCAGGCCUAACACAUGCAAGUCGAACGAGUGGCGGACGGGUGAGUAAUGUCUGGGAAACUGCCUGAUGGAGGGGGAUAACUACUGGAAACGGUAGCUAAUACCGCAUACCAUCAGAUGUGCCCAGAUGGGAUUAGCUUGUGGGGGGGGUAACGGCUAACCAAGGCGACGAUCCCUAGCUGGUCUGAGAGGAUGACCGGCCACACUGGAACUGAGAAACGGGCCAGACUCCGACGGGAGGCAGCAGGGGGGAAUAUUGCACAAUGGGCGCAAGCCUGAUGCAGCCAUGCCGCGUGUAUGAAGAAGGCCUGCGGGUUGUAAAGUACUUUCAGUGGGGAGGCGUUACCCGCAGAAGAAGCACCGGCUAACUCCGUGCCAGCAGCCGCGGUAAUAC